rnacentral:rRNA from 1 species
AUGAUGACGCGCCGAUUCGCGACGACUACGUCCUACCUUUGGACAAGACGAUGGCCAUGGUGGAAUAUGAUGCACCCCCCCACAUGGUUCCAUCACAAUGAUGAUCUUGACCAGCAUUUGUCCUUACCCACCUCACCUACACCACAUGAGUGGAAUGACAAAGAUAACAUAGGUGAAGGUACCCACGAAUUCUUGUCAACAUCGCAAUCCCACGAGUUGACAAAACGAGCUCUAGAGAGCAAUGAUGACUUGGGAUUCCAUGGAUUGUCUUUCCCACCGCUCUCUUCGCGCAAAGACUUCGCGCAUUUCUUCUACUUGGCUCUCACUUGGCUAUGGGUUAUUGUCCGUUAUAUAUUAUAUGCCCAUCUUGCCAUGAUCACUUUGCAUGAUAUGCUCACUCCUACGCCUUUGGCAUGCAUUUGUGACCCUUGCUUUGCAUUACACAUGAUGAUUGAUUCUAGUACUUGUAUGUGUAUUUGCAAGCUUGGUGGAGAUAUUGCUUGUUAUUGCCAUGUUUGCUUUGUGCCCCAUGCCUAUGAUGAUACUAUGAUCUUGCUUUGUGCUCGUGCUUGUGAUAUGUCAUGUGCAUUAUCUAUUCCUAUUAUUUGCUCACAUGACAUGAUUGCCAUGAUUUCCUCUAGUAUGUUGCAUCUUCGCACUACUAGCUUGCAUGACUUGAUUACUAUGCUUGCUUAUGUUGCAUCACCAAUGAUUCAUACUUGCUCACUUCAUGCGGUUGAUGACAACCAUCUACAGGCUUUGCACAUGAUUGUUAUUGCUUCUUGUCAUAUCUCUCCAUAUGUUGCCUCCCUCAUGCUAGAUGAUUUGACAUGUAUUGAGUGCAACAAUGCCUUUUUAGUCUUGAUGAUGAGAUUUCCCCAUAGCAUUCUCACGUAUAUUUGGAGAUUUUGA